UAGAGUUUGAUCAUGGCUCAGAUUGCACGCUGGCGGCAGGCCUAACACAUGCAAGUCGAGCGGUAGAGAGAAGCUUGCUUCUCUUGAGAGCGGCGGACGGGUGAGUAAUACCUAGGAAUCUGCCUGGUAGUGGGGGAUAACGUUCGGAAACGGACGCUAAUACCGCAUACGUCCUACGGGAGAAAGCAGGGGACCUUCGGGCCUUGCGCUAUCAGAUGAGCCUAGGUCGGAUUAGCUAGUUGGUGAGGUAAUGGCUCACCAAGGCUACGAUCCGUAACUGGUCUGAGAGGAUGAUCAGUCACACUGGAACUGAGACACGGUCCAGACUCCUACGGGAGGCAGCAGUGGGGAAUAUUGGACAAUGGGCGAAAGCCUGAUCCAGCCAUGCCGCGUGUGUGAAGAAGGUCGUCGGAUUGUAAAGCACUUUAAGUUGGGAGGAAGGACAGUAAAUUAAUACUUUGCUGUUUUGACGUUACCGACAGAAUAAGCACCGGCUAACUCUGUGCCAGCAGCCGCGGUAAUACAC
rnacentral:rRNA from 1 species